rnacentral:rRNA from 1 species
GACGAACGCUGGCGGCGUGCUUAACACAUGCAAGUCGAACGGAAAGGCCCUGCUUUUGUGGGGUGCUCGAGUGGCGAACGGGUGAGUAAAACGUGAGGAACCUGCCCUUGACUUUGGGAUAACUUCAGGAAACUGGGGCUAAUACCGGAUAGGAGCUCCUGCUGCAUGGUGGGGGUUGGAAAGUGUCGGCGGUUGGGGAUGGACUCGCCGGUUAUCAGCUUGUUGGUGGGGUAGGGGCUUACCAAGGCUUUGACGGGUAGCAGGCCUGAGAGGGUGACCGGCCUCCUUGGGCCUGAGAUACGGCCCAGACUCCUACCGGCCGCAGCAGUCGGGAAUUUUGCACAAUAGGCCGAAGCCUGUUGUGACAACGCCGCGUGCGGGAUGCCGGGCUUCGGGUUGUGAACCGCUUUCUCCUUUGAUGUAGCCUGCGUGACGGUAAUUGGUCAAGAAGCCCCGGCUAACUACGUG